CCUACGGGAGGCAGCAGUGAGGAAUAUUGGUCAAUGGACGAGAGUCUGAACCAGCCAAGUAGCGUGAAGGAUGACUGCCCUAUGGGUUGUAAACUACUUUUAUAGGGGAAUAAAACGGUGCACGUGUGGGAUUUUGUAUGUACCAUAUGAAUAAGGAUCGGCUAACUCCGUGCCAGCAGCCGCGGUAAUGCGGAGGAUCCGAGCGUUAUCCGGAUUUGUUGGGUUUAAAGGGAGCGUCGGUGGCUUGUUAAGUCCGUUGUGAACGUUUGCGGCUCAACCGUACAAUUGCCGUUGACACUGGCAGUCUUGAGUCCAGUAGAGGUGGGCGGAAUUCGUGGUUUAGCGGU
rnacentral:rRNA from 1 species